GCGUAAGGGAUUCUUAAGCCUUAACCUCAUGGAUAAAAAAAAAGGAUUUAUGAAUUAUGAUGUCUUACAGUGAAAAUAUUUUAACGCCUUUUUGUUUCUUAAUCUAAUCUAUAAGAUUCUGUUUUUUUUUUCUUUUGUUAGAAAGAGGAUGACUGAUGAAAGAGCUGCGAGAGUCGAAAAGAUUGCCUCAUAUGUAUCGAACAAACUGGAUAAAUUCGCCAUAUAUAUUCAUGAUAAAAGCCUUCUCCUGAAGAAGAAAAGAAAAACGAUUUAUGAAUGUCUUACAGUGUGAAUUUUCAUCAUGAUAUGAUCCUGAUUGUCUUCUUUAGGACAUGUUUUUUUUACUUCUUUCCACCUUCGAUUUGGUUGCUUUGUUAAUCUCUUUAAUUAGUGUUAUGUCAAGUAUGAUGAACUCAUGUUUUGCUCCUCCUAGUGACAAUUGAUUUUAUCUCUUUUUUUUGUUUUUCCUAUUUAGAUAUGAGAGAUUGUAUUGGGAUAUUCAUAUGCUCAAAGUUUAAUUCCUAGAGCUACUCUGCAAGAGCACAGAUGUGCAAUUGUAGUAUAAUAGGGGUAGAACCACAGAGACAAGAGAUUCGCUCAAUAAACCUAUUAGAAAUUGAAUUACGCUAAGCAGAUUAAUGAGAAGCAAAUAGCAAUGCAAAUAAAGAUAAACGAAUGCAGUAAAAACGUUUGUAAAGUUCAGAUGGAUGGAGAUUAGGCUUAGGGCGUUUCUCAUGAAAUCAAUGCAUGCAGAUCAAUCGAUAAAUCAGGGUUCAGGUUUAAGCAUGGUUCUUGAACUCGAAUCACAGAAUUAUAAUUAACCAACUUCCAUUGUGAGAAUUAUCUAAGUUAAAAUCCUAGAAUUCCAAAUUCCUUUGCAAACCCUAAAGAUUUAAACCAGCUUUAAUGCUCAAGUUCGAUAUGUUCACAAAGUAUCUAAACCAAAUUCCUUUGCGAAUAGCUACUUUGCUCACCCUAGGUUCUUUCCAGUUACUCAAUUACACUUCCGUGUCAAUCAAUUAACCUAAGAUUUAAGUUCUAGGUGGCCAGUCCAGAAUUAGCUUUAAGAACAACCUAUGGUGAAGAACUAAAUAGAUUAUGAACCCUAAUUAAUCAAUCAAUCCAACAUCCAAUGAAAUCCUUUAUGAGAACCCUAAACCUAACAAGCAAACUACUCAGACAUGGAGAUUGAAGCAAUAAACAUGAUUGAAUAGCUUGCAGAAAAGAAAUAAUAGAUAAAUAAACAGGGGUUCGAAAUCUUCUCUAUCCCCAAAAGCUCUCAAAAACAAAAGUUCUCUCUCAGAAAAUCUAAGGUAAUCGUAAAAAGGGAAUAAAAACCCUAUAUAUAUCUCUAAGACACGUUUUGGGCUUCCUUGGAAACGUUUAGGCCCAACUCCUUCUUCAAAUAGGAAACAAAAUCGCCUUUUCCUUAUUUUUUGACAAGUGUCGCGCGUCACUCUCCAUGGUGUCGAGCGUCACUAAAGAACAAAAUCCAUUCUUGACGAAUUUGAUCCUGAUUAAGCUCCAAAGUGCUCCAAAGUCUCCAGUUAAGCUCCAAACGUACCUAUGACCUGAAAAGAUCCCAAAAGACUCGAAAGACACUAAAAAGACUCUAUAAAUAAGACAUAUACCAUGGUCAAAAACCAUAAAAACCAUGAUAUAUCAACUCCCCCAGACUUAGCAUUUGCUUGCCCUCAAGCAAACAUAACACCAAACAAGAGAAAGAAGUUUGAAAACACAGAGACUCAACCUUUCAUUGGAACAUCGCCCUUGACCAAUUGCCUGCAACUCAACUACUGCUUCAUCAUUCCAAAUCGAACCACCAUGUACUUCUCCGUAGACAUUCUCAGCAUUCCAGAUUAAGUCCAAAAUUCCACAACAUUGUCCAUAAACUCUCAUCGCUGGAUCUCACUGAUGAUUUAGAUGCCAAGAACCUUCUAGAUUCUUUCCCGUACUAUACUCAAGCAAAUCAUCCAUACACACUUUGGUACUUUUCUCUCCCCCAGACUUAUUCUUUUCGCACACUCAUCAUCAUUUUUUUAUGGCAUAUACUCGAUAAGGGUAAAGCUGCGAGUACUGAUGGUGUUUGCCAUCGAGUCCCCGAGUUGUCCCCUUAUCUUGUAUCAAAGGUUUUCAGCGAAUAGUGGGGUCAUGGGAAACAUUCCUACCCCUCACUUCCUUCCUUUGUGUGAUCAUUCCAACUUAGAAGUGAAAUAAUGGGAUCAUUGGAAACAUUCCUAGCCUUUUUUCUUUCUUUCUUCUUUUUCCUAGCUCGUCACAAGGGAGAGAAAUACCAACAUUAAAUUUUACACAGGCUUUCAUUGAUCAAGUAUGAACGAGGAAUCAAGCUCUGAGGCAUUAGUCACAUCAACGAGUUAAAAGUGAAGUUUAGAACUUAGUUCAGGUUAGUGGAUUCUGUUGGAAACAUGGACGCCUCUAGUCAGCUGGUCAGCCUUUGGAUUUUUCAUUAGUCGGAUCUAGACUGAAUCUGCAGCAGUGGUCACUUAGGUGAAAGGUCAGCACAAUAAUUUCAGGAAAAGCAUCAUGAUCUCCAACAGGUUUUGACUCAAAAACGUUUUGACACAACUGACUCUUAAGAAAAACAAACACAAUGUCAGCAACUACCUCCCCCAGACUUGAAUAACACUGUCCCCAGUGUUAUCGAGUCCGAAGUUGGUGAAACAAAAAAAAGAAACAGAGAAACACAAGAAAAACGAAGAACUUACCUGGCUGCAGUGAUGGUGACGCGCGACACUGAUGAUGGUGUCGUGCGACACUUGUUCUCCUCGUACCGAAUUGCAGCAAACCAAUCUGAAUUUCUGGUUUGACUCCGGUUGCCCGAUUUCCUUUUUUUUUUUUUUUUUUUUUGAUGAAUAGCAAGUGACAGGCGACACCGAAGGUGGUGUCGCUCGACACCAGUCCUGUUUCACCUAAAACACGAAAAAGAAAAACGAAAAUCAACUGAAACAAAAGGCUUAUUUACAGACUCACCAGUGGAUUGCCUUCCACCAAGCGCUUGUUUUAAGUCAUUAGCUUGACUAUGGAUAGACUAUGCAUCUGGUGGAUCAGACAGUGGCAAAGAGUGCCUCUGUGAAAUUCGUCUCAUCCAUGGUGGUGUGUAAGCGUUUUGCGCAUGAGGUCGUCCAAGGAAUGCAGGAAUAACACCAGGGUGAGAUCUGUGUUUGGGUGACCUUGACCUAUUCUUUGGUGGAGAUGAAUAGAACGUGAUGUUGUGAGCUUCCUGUGCAUUAGCAGCUACUGGUUCUGUAGACGUCUUAGUCAACUCAGGUUGAUCUUUCACCUUCUCAGCAUCAAACACGUUCUGAUCUCCCACUAUCACUUCAGGUAUUGCACUGACUUGGAAUGUCUGACCAUCUAUGGUUGAAUCCUUUAGCUUCUCCAUCUUGAAAGACAUGAUGGUAUCUCCUAGGUGGAGAUCAAGGUUACCAUGCUUGACAUCAAUUACUGCUCCAGCUGUAGCUAAAAACGAUCUUCCCAGGAUAAGAGGAUCUUUGGGUUCCUCUUCAUAUUCCAGAACCACGAAAUCUGUAGGAAUUAUGCAAUCACCAACUUUAAUCGGAACAUCCUCCAAGACACCUUUUGGGAUUCUUUUAGAUCGAUCUGCUAGGAUUAGAGAGAUAUUAGUUGGCUUGAAGUCAGUCAUCCCAAGGCUAACAGCUACAUAGUAAGGCAUUAGGUUGACACUCGAACCAAGAUCACACAGCGAUCUCUUGAACCUCUCAGAGAAGAUAGAGCAGUCCAAAACAAAGCUUCCUGGGUCCGAGAGUUUCUCUGGAAUCUUAUUCUGAAUCACAGCACUGACCUGUUCAGAAAUCAUCAUCACUCCUUCCUCAUGACUCAGAUUAUUAGUCACCAUUCUCUUCACAUAGUGUCUGAGAGUAGGAGCAAUCUUCACAGCAUCAACCAAAGGAAUCUCAAUAACAAGUUUCUCCAUCAAAGUCUUGCAUCUGGCAUCAUCUAUCUCCUGCUUGGACUUCCUAGGACUCCUUGGGUAAGGAACCUUAGGUUUGUAAACCUUUUCCUCAGCAGAUUUCGAACUUUGAGCAAUAUCAGCUUUGCUCUGCAAUUGGUGACGCGCGACACUGGUUGUGGUGUCGCUCGACACCGGCUCUGCAGUUUCGAAAUUUUCUUCAGAUUCGUCAAACUCCACGAUUUCAUCCUCAGAAACACCCUUUUUAAGCACUUGAGUCAACUUUUUACCACUCCUUAACGAGAUAGCACUGCAGUAAUGCCUAGGAUUGAUAUCAGUCUUCCCAGUAAGGAAUCCUUCUUGCCUUUUUACAGACUCUGCAGUCUGAGCAACCUGAGUAUCAAGCUUCUUGACAUGAGUGUUCAGAACUUCAAUUUUUCUAUUCAGAUCCAGAUACAGAGCAUCAAUCUUCCCAUUGAAAUCCACAGUCAUCUUCUGCUGACCUUCCAGUAUCUGUUCCAGCAUAGACUUCACCUCAUUAUCAGGAGUUUGAGUAGGAGGAGAACCAUAGUUCCUUGAAAACCUGUUGUUGGAGUAGGAUGUCUGGUACUGAGGUUUGGAGCUGUAACCAGAAGAGUUCUGAUUACCUGUGAAGGUACUCCUCUGAUUAUUUCCAUUGUGAUUCGUGUUCCCUUGCCCAGAACCAAAUCUCUGACCCCGAAAUCCAGCUCCAUUGAUAAAGUUAACAUCCUCUUCCUCAAGUGCUUCAUCUGGUUCGAAAUUCUUAACCUCUGCAGCGUAUCGAACGGACUUCUUACCCACUAGAAGGCUAUGCACAGAGUCAAGCUUAGCCUUCACCUCAGCAAUCUGCGAUCCAUCCAUGUUUCUAGCCUGCUUCCUUCGCUGAUAGUCUGCAUUCUUGGUUCUAGAAUGAUAAAUCGAUUAUGAAUUUAGAACACAAAGUUUAAGAAUAACUCUCUUAUUGCUUUAGAAAACUGACUCAAAAACUAAAGCUCUCAAACUCUGAUAAGUGAAACCACAACUUUGGUAACUCCUUAUAUAGAGAAAGAUUUAGACAACUUCCUAAACCUAAUGGAAUUUAGAUUACUCCUAAUUUCCUUUUCUCUUUAAUCCUAACUCUUAUAGGAAACUUUACUUAAGAAGAUUCUGGAAGCUUGCUCUUCAAGCUUACUCCAACAUUGGUACUAUUGCUAGAUGCCAAGUUCUCAAUGAGCACAACAGCAUCUUCUGGGUACCUGGUGUUGAAGUUCCCAUUGCUUGCAGCAUCAAGAGCCAUCUGAUAUCUCCAAUCAACACCUCUGAAGAAAAUACCCAACAGCUGAACAUCACUGAAACCAUGAUGAGGGCAAUCUCGCUGGUACGACUUGAAUCUCACCCAAGCAGCUUUGAACGCUUCAGUUGGUUCCUGAGAAAAAGUCGAAAUUUUCGUCCUCAACUCCUCAGAUCUAGCAUCAUCGAAGAAGUUGUGCAGGAAAGCAUUCCUGGUCUCUUCCCAAAUAGUGAGUGAUCCUGGCUCCAACUGCUUCAACCAGUUAGCUGCUUCUCCAGCAAGAGAGUAAGGAAACAGCUUGCAGAGGAGGAAAUCAUUGGACACUCCAUUGUAUUUGAUGCUGGUGACCAAGUCCUCAAACCUCUCGAUGUGAUCCAUAGGGUGCUCAUGAGAAAGACCAUGGAAAGGAUGCUGACCCACAAGAGUGUAAUACACAGGCUUGAGCUCAAAAUCAUUCCUCUGAAACGCAGGAGCGCGAAUCGCAGACCGAUUUGCAUAGAAUUGCUCAGGCCUGUUGUAGUCACCCAGCGUCCUGAUGAUGUUACCCUGUCCAUCAAGUCGCUGGCCUCUCUCAUUGCACACAUGACCCUCUUGGUCUCUCCAGACUCCAGCAUCAUCACGAAUCAAUGCCAAUGCGUUCUCCAUCUUUGCUAGUUUCUGAGACAAAGAGAAAGAACAAUGUAAGUAACAAAGCAAAAAUAAAAUAAAGAAAAACAACGGGUGUCGCGCGACACCAAUGCUGGUGUCGCUCGACACUAAGAAAAACUUAGUCGAAACUCAAGAACUAAAGUUUAAUGGCGAAAAUCAAGUCUCGGGCAACGGCGCCAAAACUUGAUCUGCUCAAAGUUUAAUCCUUAGAGCUACUCUGCAAGAGCACAAAUGUGCAAUUGUAGUAUAAUAGGGGUCGAACCACAGAGACGAGAGAUUCGCUCAAUAAACCUAUUAGAAAUUGAAUUACGCUAAGCAGAUUAAUGAGAAGCAAAUAGCAAUGCAAAUAAAGAUAAACGAAUGCAGUAAAAACGUUUGUAAAGUUCAGAUGGGUGGAGAUUAGGCUUAGGGCGUUUCUCAGGAAAUCAAUGCAUGCAGAUCAAUCGAUAAAUCAGGGUUCAGGUUUAAGCACGGUUCUUGAACUCGAAUCACAGAAUUAUAAUUAACCAACUUCCGUUGUGAGAAUUAUCUAAGUUAAAAUCCUAGAAUUCCAAAUUCCUUUGCAAACCCUAAAGAUUUAAACCAGCUUUAAUGCUCAAGUUCGAUAUGUUCACAAAGUAUCUAAACCAAAUUCCUUUGCAAAUAGCUACUUUGCUCACCCUAGGUUCUUUCCAGUUAUUCAAUUACACUUCCGUGUCAAUCAAUUAACCUAAGAUCUAAGUUCUAGGUGGCCAGUCCAGAAUUAGCUUUAAGAACAACUUAUGGUGAAGAACUAAAUAGAUUAUGAACCCUAAUUAAUCAAUCAAUCCAACAUCCAAUGAAAUCCUUUAUGAGAACCCUAAACCUAACAAGCAAACUACUCAGACAUGGAGAUUGAAGCAAUAAACAUGAUUGAAUAGCUUGCAGAAAAGAAAUAAUAGAUAAAUAAACAGGGGUUCGAAAUCUUCUCUCUCCGGAACAGAGUUUCAGACUUGUCUCCCCAAAAGCUCUCAAAAACAAAAGUUCUCUCUCAGAAAAUCUAAGGUAAUCGUAAAAAGGGAAUAAAAACCCUAUAUAUAUAUCUCUAAGACACGUUUUGGGCUUCCUUGGAAACGUUUAGGCCCAACUCUUUCUUCAAAUAGGAAACAAAAUCGCUUUUUCCUUAUUUUUUGACAAGUGUCGCACGUCACUCUCCAUGGUGUCGAGCGUCACUAAAGCACAAAAUCCAUUCUUGACGAAUUUGAUCCUGAUUAAGCUCCAAAGUGCUCCAAAGUCUCCAGUUAAGCUCCAAACGUACCUAUGACCUGAAAAGACCCCAAAAGACUCAAAAGACACUAAAAAGACUCUAUAAAUAAGACAUAUACCAUGGUCAAAAACCAUAAAAACCAUGAUAUAUCAGAUAUAACAUAUAUCAUCUCGUUUUUUUUUUUUUUUUUCUUUUUGUAAAGAAUAUCACUUGAUCUAUGUACCCAAGUAUAUUUAAGAAAUUGGAAAAAUAAGGAUAUUUUAUAAGAAAAUCAUUAAAUUGUAUAAAGAAUAUAAAGUGCUAUUAAAAAUGUGAUUUAAAAAAAAAGAAAAGUACGCAUGAUCCUUCUAUACUUAUAUUCCUAGCUCUUGAGAAAUGAGUUAUUUGAGUUUGGAGACACACGUUCAGGGGACGGUACUCGGCUCUUUGAAAGAGUAUUAAGCUUGAAUGGAUUGCAUGAGCCACAGAACCUUAAGUGUCGGAGGCUUAUCCGCUUAUGUGAAUCAAGUUCAUGUCCACACAAUGAGACGAUACGGUCAAAUAUGUCCUAUGUUCUUGGACCAGUUGCAUACAAUUUAAUUAUCCUCUUGUCAAUAUUAGAUUAGAGAUACAACAGUUUUGUCUUCCAUAGAGAGAGCUUCUUCAUCAUCGACGAAAAGAAGAACAAAAGCCCAUACAUAUCCCAGUUGAAAACGAGAAGAAAAGCCCACACAGAAAAUUAAAGAUACGUGAUUACCUAACUGCAAAAGACAAAGGUAUGUGACCACCUCGGUAACUGCAGAAGACAGUUAAAGGUUGUUGAGUUGAGCCGCCAAAACAGAAUACUUAGAGCAAAAACAGAAGAAGAAGGUAUGUGACCAGCUAGGUAACUGCAGAAGACAAAUAAAGGUUGUUGAGUUGAGCCGCCAAAACAGAAUACUCUCAGUGUAAAAACAGAAGAAGAAGGUACGUACGUGUUCUGUUUCGUAUUAAGAUUAAAAAAAAAAUAGAGCAAUGAGUUCACAAAGGCAUGUGUCAGAGUGUGAUUAGUAGAUUUAGAUCUAAGCUUUAAAAGUGAAAAACAACUAGCAUUUAGCAACAAAAAUAAAAGCAACUAGCUAGUAGAAAACUGAGAGUGGCAAUGGAUGCUGAUAUAUACUUCCUCAUCAACCUCUCAUUUACACUAUUAUUCAUUGAAUAAGAUUAAUAAAAUAUGAUCUUUUAAUUUAAUAGUUUGGAUUUUUUUAAAUAUACGUUGCAUUAAUUAUCAAAAAUUUGUUACUAAUAUAUCUUAAAUGUAAUUUUAUAUAUUAUCUAUGUUUUUUAACAUUUUAAGUGUUUUUUAUAAAUUUAAAUUCGUGUAAUUUUAUGCUAAAUUGUGUUAUUUAAAAAUAUAAUAUUUUGUUAACAUUAUUAAUAUUUGUGAGUGUAUUAAUUUUACUAUUAUAGUUAAUAUAAAUAAAUAUACUAAAUUAAGAUGUAAUCUAAGAUGUAAUUAAUAUAAUUAAAUAUAUUUAAGAUAAUAUUUACUUUAAUAUAUUUUAUAAAAUAAAAACAAAAGAUUUUUUACUUUAAGAUAAUAUUUAGAGACAUUACACUUAAAUGCAUUUUUUAAACACAUAUUACAAUAAAAUACACUUCUAGCUAUUAUGAUAUUUUUUUGUUUUUUUUAAUUUCAUACCAAAAUAAUCCAAAAUUGUCUCAUGUGUUCACGAUAACGUUGGAUGCGAACUAGCAUAGAUUAAACUCAGAUUUUAAAAACAGUAAUUUUUCUCAUCUAUUUUUUGUAUUUUUUAAUAUUGUGAAAGAUAAAUAAAAACAGUUUUUUGUUAUAAUGAAAUAUAAUUUUAUUUUCUCAUAUUUUAAGACACAUUAUACUAUAAUUUAUUUAUUAAAUAAGAAAUUUUUCGAAAAUCAUUUAUAUAAAAUUCAAAAAAAAAAUCACAAGUUUAGUUAGAUAUCCAUUCACAAAAUAAAAUAUGGAUGAUAUAUGAUGGACAUAAAACAUGGACAUGAUGGCAUGAAUUAAUUUUAAUUGAUAUAUUUGACGUGGAUAUAUAUUUUACAUUGUCCACGAUAUAGAUAUAAUUGUGUGGAUAUGUUGUUAUUGAUAUAUUCGACAUGGAUAUACAUUUUACAUUGUCCAUAAUAGGACAUGAUCAUAUGAAUUAUUUUGAUGUUAAAUUUGAAAAAAAAAAAUUAUAAUAAUUAAAAGUGCUUUUUUGUAAGAAUAAGUAGAAAAAUAUAUUUUUGAGUGUAAAUCACUCUAAUAUUUAACUUAAGUUUUCAAUAUUAAUUACACUGAAAUUAAAAUUUGUACAACAUUAAUAAUAUUAUAUAGAUGAGAUAUAUUAGUGGAUACUUUAUCAAAAAAGGCAAAAAUUUAUGAUAGGGUUCUCAAAAAAAACGAAUUCUUAAAAUAUUAGUACUUCCUUCAUUCUGAUUUUAUAUGAUACUUUAUCAUUGUACACAGAUUAAGAAAUCUUUAAUUUAAUUUUUUUCUAUACUAAAACUUUAAUUUUUAUCAUUUUCAAUAUAAUGCAACUAAUUCAAAAAAAUAAUAUGCAAAAUAUAAAAAUCUGUAAAACACCAUUUAGAUAAGAACGGAUGAAAUAUUAUAUUUAUGAGAUAUCCUUAAGAUAUCUUAAUAGAAAUGCUCUUACAAAUAAAAACAAACCAGUGGUCAAAUGUCUUUGGAAAUGUCUCUGUUCUUUGACGACAACAAAAAUUGUCUCUUAACUUUCAGUGUUUUGUUUCAAGAGAAACUAGAUUCUAACCCUGUGCAUCCGCACAAGAAUUUUUUUUAUUUCUGAUAUAAAUUGUAAUUAUUUUUUUGUUUAGAUAUAAUUUGUUUUUGUUAUUUAUUUUUUUUUUAAAUCAAGAAAAUUUUUAGCAUGUUUUAAUUUUAAAUAAUAUAGAUUUGUAUAUCAGUAGAAUAAAUGUAUAAGUUAAUUACGUAUACAUCGACCUAAUGUUAAUUAUAAAAUUUAUUAUUAUGUAAAUUUUUAUUUACAUAUAAACAAUCUAUGUAUAUAUCUAUGAAUUUGCUAAUCUGUCUGUUUAGUUGCCUUAAAAUCAUUUUUUUUAUAAAUAUUUUACAUGUUUUGACAAACUAACCAGAAUAAAACUCUAAUUAUAAAGGGAGAGUUUCACAUUUAACCCAUAUUUCACAGUCAAACAUCAAACUAACCUCUUUUUUUUCUCUCUCCAACUUUUGCCAUUUUCUCACAAUUUUAUCCUUCCCACUUUAACUAUUAACGAAAAUACCAUUAUACAUCUAUUAUUUCGAUUUUUCUUUAAUUUGGCUAAAGUCUCCUUGGACCUUCUAAAGACCUUUUAAUUACGAGAAUGCCAUCUUUUUCAAUUUCUUCAACCACCAUGAACAACCAUGAAAAUAGAAUAAAUGCUUCUCAACCAAUUUUAAAGCUGUAAUAAAACAAAUAUCUGAGCUCAUUCACUCAUAACCUUGCUCAUUCUUUCAUAAUUUCUUCUCCAAAACAUCUGGGCAAAGUUACAAUGCUUCGCGCCAUGCUUUUUUGGUGAUUUCUGGUUACUCGACACCUGGGUUGUUUAAUUUCGGUGAAAUCUUGAGUUCUGGGUGGAUAAGAGAAACUUAGGCGAGCACAAUUUUGUUAAAGGUAAUCCUCGCACUUCAAUUUCUCCACAUUUCAGUUUUUAUAUCGCGAAAGUAGACUUCUCGUGAACUAUACUGAAGUCUACUAGUCAACAUAAGGUUAUUUUUGCAAUUGACUUUUAAAAAGUAGACUUCGUUAAACUUCACGAGAAGUCUACUCGACAUCCUUUGAAAACAAAAAAAAAACUUAGUAGACUUCGUUUGAAGGCUCAAGAAGUCUACUAAAGAAAAGAGGUUAUUUUUGUAGUUUGCCGUAUUUUGACUUUUUGAUUUAGACUUCCGUAUGAAGUCUACUGCUUACGUCUGCAUACAAAGUCUACUUUAAAGUUACUUUUGUAGUUUGACCAAAAACGUAUAGGUCAUUUUUGUGUUUGACUUCUGUUUUUCAAAAAUUAAAAAAUUUAAAAAAUUCCAAAAAACUUCAGUAGACUUCCCAAAGAAGUCUACAAUUUGUAGACUUCUUUGGGAAGUCUACUUAUUUUGUUCGGUCAAACUUAGAAGGAAUCCUUUUUUGAGUAGACUUCUCAAAAAAAUCAAUUGCAAAAAUAACCUAUUUUGUUCCGUAGACUUCUAUUUAAAAAGUAGACUUCAAAUGUAGACUGUCAGAGAAGUCUAUUCUAACAUGAAGUCUACAAUAGAAGUCUAUUCUGUUAGUCAAUGCAUCGGUCCAAUGCUAAAGUAACCUUUUUUUACUGAAGUCUACUCCUGAAGUCUACUGAAGGAAAAGUCAACAGAUUGGUCAAUUGCAAAAAUGACCUUUUUUGUAGAUUUCAUUAGUAGACUUCUCAAUGAAAAAGUAGACUUCUCCUCCAGUCUACAGUUGAAGUCGGCUUACGAAGUCUACUUUUUGAUGUUUUUUAAAAAAUGCGUUUUAAGCAAAUUUAUAAACUAUUUUUCAAAUUUUUUGGUUUAGAAUUGCUUCUUAGUAAGUGAUUGAACUUCCCAUUCAAUUUUAUUUCAUUUCAUUGGAUAUUUAUUGUUGAAUCAGAAAUUUCAAUUUUUUAGGUACUUAGCUUAUCAAAGUAGACUUCUCCUCCAGUCUACAUUCAAAGUCUGCUUUAGAAGUCUGCUUUAGGAGUCUACUUUUAGACGUUUUUUUAAAAACGCGUUUUAAGCAAAUUUAUAAACUAUUUUUCAAAUUUUUUGGUUUAGAAUUGCUUCUUAGUAAGUGAUUGAACUAUCCAGUGAAUUUUAUUUUCAUUUCAUUGGAUAUUUAUUGUUGAAUCAGAAAUUUCGAUUUUUUAGGUACUUAGCUUAUCAAAGUAGACUUCGUCGUGUAGUCUACUCAUGUUCUUUUCCGUAGAAGUCCACUCUUGAUACAAAAAGUCUCUAUGCAGUGUUUGCUAAUAUGGUUUAUAUGGUUUAUAUGGUUAUUUUUUCAGAGAAUGGCUCAAAUUCUAGUUGUGUACGGUGAGUGGAAGAUUGAGGAGAAUUCAUGGCAUUUUGUUGUUGACAUGGGCAAAGGUGGAAGAAUGUGGUUUUUGAACGAUGGUUGCACCUUGGGGGAGCUUACUGAGAUGGCGCGAGAUGAUUAUAACUUGGGCAAGAAGACUGAGCUCAUCGAGUUAACCUGCGCACUACCAAUCUCAAUGUUGCAAACUAUGGCUCCAGAUACACCUCCAAUGCAUGUCACCAAUGAUAGAAAAGUUUCAAGCUUGAUUGCGUUAAGCAGAGUGCAUAUGGUACGUCUUUGUGUGUCCAGUCGAGUGGAGAUGGAUACUGAGGAGAACCAGGAAGGAUCAGAUGAAGAUUUAGGUGAGGAGUCUGAGGAAAAUUCCGAAUAUUCUACCGAUGAUGAGGCAGACAGUUCUGAUGUGAACAAGGAUGGAGAAGAUGUCGACAAUGCAGCUUACUCUGACGGAGAAGAUUACAGUGUCUACAGUAAAGUGAAAGAUGAAGAUGAUGAUGAAAAUGAAGUCUGAAUUACUCUGCAGUUUAUUGUCACAAACAGGCAUGAAUUUACAAAUGACUACACCAAUGCUAUAAUUUAGUAACAUGUUUUAUCAUAGUCUGAAAAUUGUAAACAACUAGUUUUUAAAACAUAAGUAAAUAAUAUCACAUGGUACAUUACACUAGUAAACAUGUUCGAAUUCAAAUGACAUUAGUAUUAAAUGUUCCUAUCUUUGUGUGAUCUUGUUCGCACGUAAUGUUUUCGUAUAGGCGGAGGGUUUUUGGUACUAACCCCUUCAUGCUUCUUGGAUCCAGUGCCCUGCUGCUGGGUUGACUCUACAUUGUCUUUAACCUCUUCCUCAGUGUGCUUCGCCGACCCUGUAGUCAACUCCUCUACCGCACGCUCUACAGAUUCAACCUUCUCGGUGAGAAGUUUGAUCUGCUUUUCACAGCUACCAAGACCAUUCAGCAUCUUGGUUGAAAAGCUUUUGAAGCAUUGGUCGAAGUGCGCUUUCAUAGUAGCGACAACUCCGAUCCCUUCGUCACCAACGAAUGAGGCGGCAGAGGCAGAGGCUGUGCAGGGUCUCUUGCGACUUGAUUCAUCUGAGGGAAGGCUCCUCUUUCCGGCUUCUGCCUUGACGAUGUGUGCACCCAAAACACCUUCCAAAGGCCAAUGGUUUUUUGAGAACUUGAAAUGGGGGUCAUGGAUUGCAUUGACAAUCUUGAAAAUAUCUGGAUCCUGUUCGUCAUCAUCCCACACGGGAAACAUAUCCGCCAAGUCCUUAGCCACGCAGCACUGUAUGCGAGCUUGGAAAAACACAAUAAGUAAAUGAAUUACUAUCCAUAUGAAGCCUCGAAAAACUACGUAUGAAGUCUACUCCUGAAGUCUAACAUAGAAGUCUAUUCCUGAAUGUCUCACACUAUCAAUGGUACAUAUAGAAGUCUACACAUGAAGUCUACUUCUGAAGACUACUUUGAAAAUUCAUUACUACAUAGAAGUCUACUACACUAAUACAGUACCUGUUUUAGCAUGUUGGCUUUGGCGUUCUUUCGUCCUCUUGAUCCUUUGUAAUCCAGCAAAAGAGGUUCAGUAACAUUUGGCAAUGGUUUGCCAAAUCCAGCAGCAAAAUCCGGCAGAGCAUAGUACACCCACACUUGAAGAGCUUGCACAAAUCCUUCUAUAUGAAUGUUUUUGCUGAGAUCUUUCUCCUUAACAGACUUGAUCAAAUGCUGAAAAGCAAUUCUUCCCCAUGGAAACUCCUUAAAACCUUCGAGAUCCAUCACUAGUCUGGCAUGGUUGACAUUUGUGGAUUAGCCAGGUCUUGUUGCCACUAUGAAACCAGCGUAGAUCCCAAGAUAACCCAACCGCAGCCUAUCAUCCCGAGACCAUGAUGAGCAGUUGGAACAGGCUUCAAUAAUUUCGAUAGUGCUUGGACCCGACUCCGCAUCGACCCCCAUUAGCUCCCAAAAUGCACGCAUGUCAUCGGCAAGCGCAAGAUCAGUUAAAGCCAAGUCAUCCACGUACCCGCAGUUGAGUCCGGUGAUCUCCUCAAACUCAUGCAAUGAAAACCAAACUGGAGUGGUACCAAUCAGGCUCCAUAUCUCGUACCUCUGCUUGCAAACUAUCUGAAAGGUCAGCAUGUGGUGCACCAGCCUAGAAGCCCAACCAAAAUCCCAGUCGUGGAACUUUAAAAAGACACCCAACGGUGACUCGUAAAUCUCUUCCCAUUCAUCCUCUUGUAGAGCUGACUUUAGUGCAGGUACCAGCCUAUAAUCAUCAGCAUAAUAGCUCAUGCUUUUAUCUGGGGCUGGCUCAAACCCUUUGGUGUACAGUCUUCUAGGGAAAUCAGAGGCCACCAUUAUCUAACACAGAUUUCUGCAUCAACGGUAACAAAGCUCUAAUGAGAAAAACUAGUAACGAUUUGAAACUAUACACGAAUGAAGUCUACUUUUUCAAAGUGAAGUCUACAUUUUCAAAAUAAAGUCUACUUUUUCAAAAUGAAGUCUACUUUUUCAAAAUGAAGUCUACUUUUGCAAAACGAAGUCUACUUUUUGCAAAAUGAAGUUUACUUUCACAUUCUAAGUACAAUCCGAGUCGAGAAGUCUACUGAAGCCAACCGAAGUAAUCUUAACAUAAAAAAACAGUAUAUUAAGUCAACGGAAUCCACAUGAAACAAUCAAAACAUCAUAAAUACUGCAUAUGCAGUCUACAGAACCCAACCGAAGCAAUCAAUACAUGAUAAAUACUGUAUAUGAUGUCUACUAAAACAAAUCAUCCAAAUGGAAUCUACAAAGUUUAUAGUGUUUACCGCCGUUAUUAGAUGAAGCUGGAGUCGAGAAAAUGCAACCAGAUCUGGGAAAAAAACCUAAGUCAAACCCGACAGACAAAAUUACAGGAAGAUAGAAGAAAUAUAAGAAUUGCUAAGUAUAUAACUUCGGAACAACAUCUACUAACCGUUUUGAGGCAGGAAAUGACGUUAACCUCCAACGGCGAAAGCAGAUCUGCAAAAAAAAAAAAACCCUAAUUUCAAAUCUAGAAACUGGUGGUUACGAAAACGGAAAGGUGAUGAAUAUUGAAUACGGAGGAGUAGGGAAGCAUGGGGGUGUGGUUGGAGGAAGAAAACUUGCCUGAACGAGUUUAUCGGCAGCGGUUCUGUAUGUCGGCGGCGCCGGAGCAGAAAAACAGAAAUCGCCUUCGACUUUUUUUUUUUUUUACACGAACUUUCGACGGUUUUUUUUUUAACAGGAUCUGUAAAAUUCGUAUAUAUAGUCUUGUAAUUCCGUACGGUUCGGAUAAGUUUUUUUCGGUUAGGAUUACUAAUUUUACGGGGUCUAGGUAAAUUUACCCGGUUACAAGCAGUUUUUCUUGGUUAAGGGAAAUUAUUCCCGGUUUAAUUUCGGUUUAAAUUUUGGUUAGGUUAUUUUAUUCGGUUUAGUAGAUAUACAACUUUUAAAACCUAAAUAAUAAAUUUACUUCUACUUAAUUUAAAAACAUAAAUUCAAAAAUCAAUUAGUUCUCUUUUCUCAGCACUCUUUCCUCUUGUUUCUUUCUUCAACCUUUAUUUUACUCUCUAGCAUAAUUUUUUAAAAACAACAAAAGAAAACCAGUAGUUUUCUUUUGAAACAAGCCAGUAGUUUCCACUACAGUUCUCAUACAAAUUCCUUUGAAUUUUCCUCUCCUCUUUACCCGUUUGGCUUAUAUAUAUGAACUAAGAAAGCUUGUUUCCUCAAACCACUGCUAUACUUUCUUCAAACUCUCUUUUGCUCUAUCUCUCUCAUGGCUUCUUCUUCUCCUCCUUCUCCUUGUGCUUAUAUUAAGAGAUACGAUGUCUUUCCAAGCUUCAACGGGCCAGAUGUUCGUAAAGGACUCCUCAGUCAUUUACACGAUCACUUUUUAAGGAAGGAAAUCAAAAUGUACAAGGAUGAUAAGAUGGAGAGAUGCCAACGAUCAAACGUGAACUCGUGAAAGCGAUUAGAGAAUCGAGGGUCUUGAUGGUUUUGCUCUCGAAAAACUACGCUUCUUCGAGCUGGUGUUUGGACGAACUGGUGGAAAUCUUGAAGUGCAGAAAAGAUAAGGAACAGAUUGUGAUGCCUAUUUUCUACGACCUUGAUCCGUUCCAUGUACGCACACAGAGCGGUGACUUCGGAAGCGCGUUCGAGAAAACCUGCGAAAACCAAACAGAGGAAGUGAAGCAGAGAUGGGUCGAAGCUUUGAAAUGUGUAACGACCAUAGCUGGAGAACAUUCUCGUAACUGGUUUGUUUUAACCUGCAUAACUUCUUUCGUGAUUCAACCAUAGCUGGAGUUUCUAUAAUUUAUUAAGAUUUUGUUUUUUUUUUCAGGACUGAUGAUGCUGAGAUGGUCCAAAAGCUUUGCACAGAAGUCUCGAACAAACUGAAAGUGGAAGAGUCUAAGGAAGAAUUUAGGAAGUACGAUGUAGACAAUAAUGGUUUCAUAACUGCAGCAGAGCUUCCACGAUGUGUGUUGAUAAAAGAUGGAGAAGAAUCUACUGAUAAGCAAGUUCGUAGUAUCAUCCGAGUAGUUGAUAUUGAUGGCGAUGGUCAGAUCAACUUUGAUGAAUUUGUCGAACUCAUGGCUCUUAGGUAAGGGAUUCUUGAAAGCCUUAACCUCAAAGAAACAAAAAGAAAAACGAUUUAUGAUGUCUUACAGUGAAAUCUUAUCAUAUGAUUUAGAACGCUUUUGUCUCUCUUAAUCAAUGAUUCAAUAGUGGAGUUUCUAUAGUCUAAUAACAUUCUGUUUUUUUUUUUUUUUUCUUAGGAUGACUGAUAAGAAGCUUUACACGGACCAAGUGAAAGCGGAAAUGAUGAAGGAAGGCUUUAGGGAAUGCGAUGUAGACCAGAAUGGUUACAUAACUGCACCAGAGCUUCGAUAUGUGCUGACAAAAGAUGGGGAGGAAUUUACCGAUAAGCAAGUUCGUAAGAUCAUCCGAAAAGCUGAUGUUAAUGGCGGUGAUCAGCUCAACUGUGAUGAAUUCUUCAAAUUCAUGAAUCUCAUGAUGGAUGCGUAAGGGAUUCUUAAGCCUUAACCUCAUGGAUAAAAAAAAAGGAUUUAUGAAUUAUGAUGUCUUACAGUGAAAAUAUUUUAACGCCUUUUUGUUUCUUAAUCUAAUCUAUAAGAUUCUGUUUUUUUUUUCUUUUGUUAGAAAGAGGAUGACUGAUGAAAGAGCUGCGAGAGUCGAAAAGAUUGCCUCAUAUGUAUCGAACAAACUGGAUAAAUUCGCCAUAUAGAUUCAUGAUAAAAGCCUUCUCCUGAAGAAGAAAAGAAAAACGAUUUAUGAAUGUCUUACAGUGUGAAUUUUCAUCAUGAUAUGAUCCUGGUUGUCUUCUUUAGGACAUGUUUUUUUUACUUCUUUCCACCUUCGAUUUGGUUGCUUUGUUAAUCUCUUUAAUUAGUGUUAUGUCAAGUAUGAACUCAUGUUUUGCUCCUCCUAGUGACAAUUGAUUUUAUCUCUUUUUUUGUGUUUCCUAUUUAGAUAUGAGAGAUUGUAUUGGGA
rnacentral:lncRNA from 1 species